rnacentral:lncRNA from 1 species
GUCCAUAUCUCAGAUACUACAAGCAAUAGGGCUAGUAUAUUCGGUGUAUGGAAGGACUGUAAGGUGUACAUGUCCAACUUGCAGGUGUCAUCUGACCUUGACCUCAUUUUCAUGGUUCAGUGGUUAUAGUUAAAUUUUUGUGUUUUGGUCUGUUUUUCUCAUACUAUAUGCAAUAGGUCUACUAUAUUUGUUUUAUGGAAUGAUUGUAAGGUGUACCUAUCUAGCGGGCAGAUGUCAUGUGACCUUGACCUCAUUUUCAUGGUUCAGUGGUCAAAGUUAAGUUUUUGAGUUUUGAUCUUUUUAUCUAAUACUAUAUGCCAUAGGUCAUCUAUAUUUGGUGUAUGGAAAUAUUUUAUUAUCUUUAUGUCAGUUGCGCAGG